rnacentral:rRNA from 1 species
AGAGUUUGAUCAUGGCUCAGAGCGAACGCUGGCGGCAGGCCUAACACAUGCAAGUCGAACGCCCCUUCGGGGGAGUGGCGGACGGGUGAGUAACGCGUGGGAAUGUGCCCUUUGGUACGGAACAACUGAGGGAAACUUCAGCUAAUACCGUAUGUGCCCCACGGGGGAAAGAUUUAUCGCCAUUGGAGCAGCCCGCGUUGGAUUAGGUAGUUGGUGGGGUAAUGGCCCACCAAGCCGACGAUCCAUAGCUGGUCUGAGAGGAUGAUCAGCCACACUGGGACUGAGACACGGCCCAGACUCCUACGGGAGGCAGCAGUGGGGAAUCUUGCGCAAUGGGCGAAAGCCUGACGCAGCCAUGCCGCGUGUAUGAUGAAGGUCUUAGGAUUGUAAAAUACUUUCACCGGGGAAGAUAAUGACGGUACCCGGAGGAGAAGCCCCGGCUAACUUCGUGCCAGCAGCCGCGGUAAUACGAAGGGGGCUAGCGUUGCUCGGAAUUACUGGGCGUAAAGGGCGCGUAGGCGGACAGUUUAGUCGGAGGUGAAAGCCCAGGGCUCAACCUUGGAAUUGCCUUUGAUACUGGCUGUCUUGAGUUCGGGAGAGGUGAGUGGAAUGCCGAGUGUAGAGGUGAAAUUCGUAGAUAUUCGGCGGAACACCAGUGGCGAAGGCGACUCACUGGCCCGAUACUGACGCUGAGGCGCGAAAGCGUGGGGAGCAAACAGGAUUAGAUACCCUGGUAGUCCACGCCGUAAACGAUGAGUGCUAGUUGUCGGCAUGCAUGCAUGUCGGUGACGCAGCUAACGCAUUAAGCACUCCGCCUGGGGAGUACGGUCGCAAGAUUAAAACUCAAAGGAAUUGACGG